rnacentral:tRNA from 1 species
GGAGAGGUGUCUGAGUGGUUUAAAGUACUGGUCUUGAAAACCAGCGUAACUUACGUUACCGAGGGUUCAAAUCCCUCCUUCUCCA